UUUAUUUUGUAAAUUAUAGGUUUGAGUAGUAAUAGAGUUCUUGAAACUAAAAGAAUUUGGCGGUAUUUAAGUCUAUUUAGAGGAAUUUGUGUAUUAAUCGAUAAUCCUCGUUAUAUCUUACUUAAAUUAAGGUUUGUAUAUCGUUGUCAUCAGAAUAAUUUUUAGAAUAUUUUCAGGAUUAUUAUUAAAAUAGUAUGUCAUAUCAAGGUGCAGUGGAUAUUUAAGUUAACAUGAAUUACAAUAUCGGAGAGUAAUAACGGAUUAUGUCUUUUGAUAGGUAUAUGAAGGUGGAUUUAAUUGUAAUGGUUUAUUAGUAAGGUUUCAUGAAAUAGUACUAAAAUAUGC
rnacentral:rRNA from 1 species